CGAAGCUGCGGCAGCGACACUAUGUGUUGUUGGGUAGGGGAGCGUUCUGUAAGCCUGCGAAGGUGUGCUGUGAGGCAUGCUGGAGGUAUCAGAAGUGCGAAUGCUGACAUAAGUAACGAUAAAGCGGGUGAAAAGCCCGCUCGCCGAAAGACCAAGGGUUCCUGUCCAACGUUAAUCGGGGCAGGGUGAGUCGACCCCUAAGGCGAGGCCGAAAGGCGUAGUCGAUGGGAAACAGGUUAAUAUUCCUGUACUUGGUGUUACUGCGAAGGGGGGACGGAGAAGGCUAUGUUAGC
rnacentral:rRNA from 1 species